rnacentral:lncRNA from 1 species
AUAAAUAACUUAGACAGCAUUUAUGGUUGAGUAUUUCCUGUUAAUUGAAUAAUUGAGAUUUUAUGAAUGUAAUAAAGGAUUUGUGAGUCUUAUUAAUUGAAAAUAAUUUUCUACUCCUCGUGGUAGCGAGUUUUAAAAAGGAAAAGAUUUUCGUGUGGAAAAUAGUUUUUAAAAGGUUUACUUGGUUUUCAUGACUUAGUGUUUUAAAACGAGUUUUCGGGUAGGAAACAUUUUAAACUGAUAGUUAUGGAUUUAUGGAUAAUUCUGAAUGUGAAUGUGAAUGUGAACGGUGUAUGAAUAUGUAGAUGUUCAUUUGUGUUGUUGUAUCCUGUAUCGUGAAUCUUGUAUCUUGUACUUGUGCGACGUCGUACAAAUAGAGGGAAGACUCUGUCCGUGUGAACAGUUAAUUUUCUGUAUUUGUGGCAGAUCUGGCAUAUCCUGGGGGUCAGAUUUUUUUUAAAAAAAUUUUGGG